GGGCCCGCACAAGCAGCGGAGCAUGUGGUUUAAUUCGACGCAACGCGAAGAACCUUACCAGGUCUUGACAUCCAGUAAAACUUGAGGAGACUCAAGGUGUCUUCGGACAUACUGAGACAGGUGGUGCAUGGUUGUCGUCAGCUCGUGUCGUGAGAUGUUGGGUUAAGUCCCGCAACGAGCGCAACCCUUGCUUACAGUUACUAACAGGUAAAGCUGAGGACUCUGUAGGGACUGCCGUGGACAACACGGAGGAAGGUGGGGACGACGUCAAAUCAUCAUGCCCCUUAUGACCUGGGCUACACACGUGCUACAAUGGCCGCAACAAAGAGGCGCGAAGCCGCAAGGUGGAGCAGAUCUCAAAAAAACGGUCUCAGUUCGGAUUGUGGGCUGCAACCCGCCCACAUGAAGUCGGAGUUGCUAGUAAUCGCGGAUCAGCAUGCCGCGGUGAAUACGUUCCCGGGCCUU
rnacentral:rRNA from 1 species